AACCUAACCAGAUUUUAACCAAAAUAAUUUAACUUAACCAAAAUUAAACCAUAAAAGUUUAACCUAACCGGAUGUAGUACCCAACAUAUAAAUACAUUUUAUUUUGUGAAAUUUGGUAAAAACACAAAACCUAGCGCCGUUGCGGCUCUCUCUUCCUUCUUCUCCCACUCGCCGUCCUCUCCGAAUCACCAUCACCACCGUCCUUGUUCAUCUCUCAGCCAUCUCCACCUCGUCACUACCGUUCCUCUACUCCUGUUCAAGAGUCUCGGGAGUGAGGACAGUGGUGAGCCGGAGAUGAGUAGUGGCGGUGAGGAGACAGAGCUUAACUUCGACUUCCAUGGAGUUCUUCCGUGUGCUCGAACUCGAGGGAUGAGAUUGAGUUGGAUUCAAAGGUAAGUCUCUUACCCUCUUUCUGAGAUUCAGUUUCAUUUCUGAUUCAUUGUAAUUGAUUAUGGAGGAAACGAAGACGCGGUGCGACGGAGGGUGGGGUCGUGUCCAUGAGCUUGAAGUGUCCUGAGUGAAUAUAGCUGCUGAAUCACAUUUUCCAAAACUGUACGUUAAGGCUUGGGCAUUGAUGAAUAACUGCCACAAACCAGCUGAGGACGACAUUGAAAGUUUGAAUAUAGAGUAACCGAAGAGAUUCAAAAGGAUCGUCUCACAAACAAUACUCAUGAAGCAUGUCUCCCAAUUCAUGAAAACUGUAGGGUUUUAACAGCUCAUGGGUCAAAUACAAUCGUGUAUGUAACAGAUGAUCAUGUUGAUAUCAGUACAAGUAACCGAGACACUGGGAGAUCAGCAGUAGAGUUGUCUUUAUAUCGUCUUCUAAGCAGUAGAGUUUGUUAUUGAUGAAAACUGAGUUGUCUUGUUUUACUUAAUCAGAAAAGCUCAAAAAAGAUUUGAGUAAACUAUUUUGUAUCAGAAUGAUGUAUUGUUGGUGUAACAAAUUUGUGUAGUUUGCUUCUAGGA